rnacentral:rRNA from 1 species
UAAAGUUGUUGCAGUUAAAAGCUCGUAGUUGGACUUGUGCGCGUCCCCGAUGUCCUUUUUGGUACGUUUGGGGAUGUGCAUCCUUGGGUGGAACCUGUGUGGCAUUAGGUUGUCGUGCAGGGGAUGCUCAUCGUUUACUGUGAAAAAAUUAGAGUGUUCAAAGCAGGCUUAUGCCGUUGAAUAUAUUAGCAUGGAAUAAUAAGAUAGGACCUUGGUACUAUUUUGUUGGUUUGCGCACCGAGGUAAUGAUUAACAGGGACGGUUGGGGGUAUUCGUAUUCCAUUGUCAGAGGUGAAAUUCUUGGAUUUUUGGAAGACGAACUACUGCGAAAGCAUUUACCAAGGAUGUUUUCAUUAAUCAAGAACGAAAGUUAGGGGAUCGAAGAUGAUUAGAUACCAUCGUAGUCGUCAUAGCUGUUUCCUG